rnacentral:rRNA from 1 species
AGCGAACGCUGGCGGCAGGCCUAACACAUGCAAGUCGAACGAACCUUUCGGGGUUAGUGGCGGACGGGUGAGUAACACGUGGGAACGUGCCUUUAGGUUCGGAAUAACUCAGGGAAACUUGUGCUAAUACCGAAUGUGCCCUUCGGGGGAAAGAUUUAUCGCCUUUAGUGCGGCCCGCGUCUGAUUAGCUAGUUGGUUGAGGUAAUGGCUCACCAAGGCGACGAUCAGUAGCUGGUCUGAGAGGAUGAUCAGCCACAUUGGGACUGAGACACGGCCCAAACUCCUACGGGAGGCAGCAGUGGGGAAUCUUGCGCAAUGGGCGAAAGCCUGACGCAGCCAUGCCGCGUGAAUGAUGAAGGUCUUAGGAUUGUAAAAUUCUUUCACCGGGGACGAUAAUGACGGUACCCGGAGAAGAAGCCCCGGCUAACUUCGUG